rnacentral:rRNA from 1 species
GACGAACGCUGGCGGCAGGCUUAACACAUGCAAGUCGAACGGGUGUAGCAAUACAUCAGUGGCAGACGGGUGAGUAACACGUGGGAACCUUCCUAGGGGUACGGAACAACUCAGGGAAACUUGAGCUAAUACCGUAUACGUCCGUGAGGAGAAAGAUUUAUCGCCCUUAGACGGGCCCGCGUCGGAUUAGCUAGUUGGUGGGGUAACGGCCUACCAAGGCGACGAUCCGUAGCUGAUCUUAGAGGAUGAUCAGCCACACUGGGACUGAGACACGGCCCAGACUCCUACGGGAGGCAGCAGUGGGGAAUCUUGGACAAUGGGCGCAAGCCUGAUCCAGCCAUGCCGCGUGAGUGAAGAAGGUCUUCGGAUUGUAAAGCUCUUUUGCCAGGGACGAUAAUGACGGUACCUGGAGAAUAAGCCCUGGCAAACUUCGUGCCAGCAGCCGCGGUAA